AGAGUUUGAUCAUGGCUCAGAUUGAACGCUGGCGGCAGGCCUAACACAUGCAAGUCGAGCGGUAGCACAGAGAGCUUGCUCUCGGGUGACGAGCGGCGGACGGGUGAGUAAUGUCUGGGAAACUGCCUGAUGGAGGGGGAUAACUACUGGAAACGGUAGCUAAUACCGCAUAACGUCGCAAGACCAAAGUGGGGGACCUUCGGGCCUCAUGCCAUCAGAUGUGCCCAGAUGGGAUUAGCUAGUAGGUGGGGUAACGGCUCACCUAGGCGACGAUCCCUAGCUGGUCUGAGAGGAUGACCAGCCACACUGGAACUGAGACACGGUCCAGACUCCUACGGGAGGCAGCAGUGGGGAAUAUUGCACAAUGGGCGCAAGCCUGAUGCAGCCAUGCCGCGUGUGUGAAGAAGGCCUUCGGGUUGUAAAGCACUUUCAGCGGGGAGGAAGGCGGUGAGGUUAAUAACCUCAUCGAUUGACGUUACCCGCAGAAGAAGCACCGGCUAACUCCGUGCCAGCAGCCGCGGUAAUACGGAGGGUGCAAGCGUUAAUCGGAAUUACUGGGCGUAAAGCGCACGCAGGCGGUCUGUCAAGUCGGAUGUGAAAUCCCCGGGCUUAACCUGGGAACUGCAUUCGAAACUGGCAGGCUAGAGUCUUGUAGAGGGGGGUAGAAUUCCAGGUGUAGCGGUGAAAUGCGUAGAGAUCUGGAGGAAUACCGGUGGCGAAGGCGGCCCCCUGGACAAAGACUGACGCUCAGGUGCGAAAGCGUGGGGAGCAAACAGGAUUAGAUACCCUGGUAGUCCACGCCGUAAACGAUGUCGAUUUGGAGGUUGUGCCCUUGAGGCGUGGCUUCCGGAGCUAACGCGUUAAAUCGACCGCCUGGGGAGUACGGCCGCAAGGUUAAAACUCAAAUGAAUUGACGGGGGCCCGCACAAGCGGUGGAGCAUGUGGUUUAAUUCGAUGCAACGCGAAGAACCUUACCUGGUCUUGACAUCCACAGAACUUACCAGAGAUGCAUUGGUGCCUUCGGGAACUGUGAGACAGGUGCUGCAUGGCUGUCGUCAGCUCGUGUUGUGAAAUGUUGGGUUAAGUCCCGCAACGAGCGCAACCCUUAUCCUUUGUUGCCAGCGGUCCGGCCGGGAACUCAAAGGAGACUGCCAGUGAUAAACUGGAGGAAGGUGGGGUUGACGUCAAGUCAUCAUGGCCCUUACGACCAGGGCUACACACGUGCUACAAUGGCAUAUACAAAGAGAAGCGACCUCGCGAGAGCAAGCGGACCUCAUAAAGUAUGUCGUAGUCCGGAUUGGAGUCUGCAACUCGACUCCAUGAAGUCGGAAUCGCUAGUAAUCGUAGAUCAGAAUGCUACGGUGAAUACGUUCCCGGGCCUUGUACACACCGCCCGUCACACCAUGGGAGUGGGUUGCAAAAGAAGUAGGUAGCUUAACCUUCGGGAGGGCGCUUACCACUUUGUGAUUCAUGACUGGGGUGAAGUCGUAACAAGGUAACCGUAGGGGAACCUGCGGUUGGAUCACCU
rnacentral:rRNA from 1 species